CCCACCUGAACGCGCAGCGGUGCCAGAGCGCGCAGUGUCAUGAUAAUGCCCGCGCAAUACUUCCUGAGGUGCGCGAGGCUUGAUCCCUAAAAGCUUCGAAAUAAAUUAUUUUUCCCCUUUAAAUUAUGUUAAUGACAUUACAAGAAAUCCCACAAAUAUUACCACAGAGUGGCCGAGAUUUCAAAGAAAAACGGGACAUAAAGUAGAGAGUUUCAGGUGGAGAAAGCCAGAGAAAAGGAGAAGGGAUGAGAGGUCACAGUCCUUUUGUCCAGGAGAGGAAAGGAGAUGGAAUGGGUCAUAAACCUACACCCUGCUGUGGAUACAAAGAGUGCAGUUUGCUGUGUGCAGCGAGCCUAAAAACAGCCGGUUUGAAAAAUGACAGCAAAAACCACUAAUGAUGAAGGAGGGCAAGAUGAGAGAUGGCUAACGGUGGUCAAGUCACGAAAAUGAGGAUGGGAGCAAGGUAAAAGAGGACCGGCCAGUUAUAUAGCAAAAAACAGAUGGGAGACAGGGAGAAUUGAGUCAGCGGAGUUGGCGAUGGCAGUCGAGGGCAGGUCUUCAUUGGUUACACGCCGCACACAGUAUUAGAUCCGUGGGGCCGAAUCAGGGUACCAGGGACUGAGAGCCACAGCAUUAUACACUCAAACACACACACUGGCAUGUAGUCCAGGAAAAUCUUUCUUUUGAUCUUAUAAUCAGGGACAGGGAAAGGCUAAGUAUGGAGAGGAUUAGCUUUGUCGCAGAGAUUUCAGUAUGAGUGAGCAAAAAUGUUCUCUUUGUAACUAAAGGAGGAGGGAUCUAAUAUGCCAGUGUAACACAAACCCUGUGUGUGGCUCUCAAGACUUAACAAAGAUCGUGAGCUGUAGUGCUGCCGCCAUCUAGAGGACAUCUGACGUGCUUUCACCUUGAAGGAUUAGUUCCUGAUAAUUUACUCACACCCGUGACAUCCAAGAUGUUCGUUCUUCAUUCGAAAAGAAAGUAAUUUUUCUCCAUAUAGUGGACUUCACUGGGGUUCAACGGCUUGAAGGUCCAAAUGUC